rnacentral:lncRNA from 1 species
AUUACGGAAAUUUUAUGCUAAUUUUAUUUACACUGUGCUUUAGUAUUCUAAGACAUUCUUAACCAAAUUGCUAACUAUCUUGGUUAACUAUUUUCUUUAAAGCCAUCAUUUAUCAUAAUCUGACAUAUAAAGCACAUUGUACUAGACUGGAUGCUUUAACUGCCCAGAAUCUCUCUACGUGAAGGAGCAGCUCCUGAACUCUGCCUCUGCCAAUGCAUCAUUCAAAAUGAUCGCCAUGGGGCCAACAUUGGAACAAUGCAACUGUGUCUUCGGGAUCCAAGAUUGGAUGGUUACCAUUGUCUUCAAAAUGAUCUUGGGUUAUGAUCACACAAGUCCUAACAAGAAAUGAGUUCUUCAGAAUUGUCAACACAUAAAGAUUUAAAAAACAAGAUUUAGCGAUGGAAGAUAAUUUGCCCAAAGUCAUUGAUGAGAAAGUGGCAGAGCUAGAAUUCAAAAUCCAGUUUAUCCAACUCUGAAGGAAGGACGCCAACAACUUAUGUU